GCUGUGGCACACACCUCUAGUCCCAGCUACUUGGGAGGCUGACACAGGAGGAUCUCUUGAGUCCAGGAGUUCUGGGCUGUAGUGUGCUGUGCCAAUCUGGUGUCCAUACUAAGUUUGGCAUCAAUAUGGUGACCUCCUGGGAAUGGGGGGGCCAUCAGGUUGCCUAAGGAGGGAUGAGCCGGCCCAGAUUGGAAAUAGAACAGGUCAAAACUCCUGUGCUGAUGAGUAGUGGGAUCACACCUGAGAAUAGCCGCCGUACUCCAGCCUGGCAAGAUAGUGAGACCCCCAUCUCUU
rfam:Otolemur garnettii contig153734, whole genome shotgun sequence.